CAUGAUCUGGCGACAGCAAAGCAGGGGACUCGAAGGCCUUGUGCGAUUGGAGCGGCCGAUGUCCGAUUAGCUAGUUGGUGGGGUAAAGGCCCACCAAGGCGACGAUCGGUAGCUGGCCUGAGAGGAUGAUCAGCCACACUGGGACUGAGACACGGCCCAGACUCCUACGGGAGGCAGCAGUGGGGAAUUUUGGACAAUGGGGGCAACCCUGAUCCAGCCAUGCCGCGUGAGUGAAGAAGGCCUUCGGGUUGUAAAGCUCUUUCGGUGGGAACGAAACGGUUACGGCUAACACCUGUGACUAAUGACGGU
rnacentral:rRNA from 1 species